GGCAGUAAAUGGCAAUGGAUGGCAUUAAAAGCCAUUGUUUUAAAACAUAAUUAACUGUUUUAUAUAAUAUAUAGUAGAUACUCAUAAUCGCUUGGUCACUGGUUCAAGUCCAGUAGGGGCCACCA
rnacentral:tRNA from 1 species